UCGGUUGCCUUGCAGGUUCAUUAGUUCGAGAUUCUCGACGAGUUCAGCCAUCGACUUGGAUGUUCGCGACGAAGAAACGACAGAAUCUGAUCACCAGAAAGUUCCAGUUGAAAAUGUAAAUAGCGCAUUGUCGAGAGUUCCCCUCGCGACGAAGCUAUUGUCCACGCUAGAAGGAAGUAACGUGGUAGUCGAACCUGUGGAAAAGUUUAAUCGUUCUACCAUGACGUGACGUCAGAGAUAAGGAAAACUGAAAAUGGUAGUCUCCGCAAACGCUCGCUGUUUGUUUCGUGCAUACAGAAUACGACAAUUCAGUUGGAUAUGUAUACAUGUAUAGGUAUGUCGCUUUGUGUAUCGUCGAAUAUUCAACUCUCAUGAUAUUGCUUUUGCGUUUGACCUUUCUGUUUGAGAACGCUUUCUUCCCGUCUGUUGGCUCCGUGUUUAUUGAAAAGUCAUGUUAUGAGAAGUAUCCUAGUAUGAGGCAAAAGGACAGUAAAAGGUAUGUUUAAGUGUGUACGACUGUGUGUUUGAAGCUAGCCUUUGCAACAUAUUAUUGUUUGCAAAUGUAAAUCUCUAUGGGGGAUUUGGUUUAAAUAUGUGGAAGCGAAUGAAAAAUGGAAAAUAGAAAAAAAUGUGUAGAAACAGCGAUUGUAUUAAUAGGAAAAUACUUUAUUGGAUAUCAGAGGAUAAUGGAUAAGGAGAGCUUAAGAAAUAAUAAACAAAUUUUGUCUGUAUAUUUUUUCAGUUUACUUCAAUUUUUAUUUUAUUUGUAAGGAAUUAGAAAGGAUAGGAGAUAAGUGGAUGAAAAUACGAACUUCAGGUGCAAUAAAGAAGAAUUUAAGACAGAAGAUAAGGAAGAAGUAACAGCGGAAACUUGAUCGAAACAGAGUUACAAACAACAUGUAUAAAGCUUCCGUGACGCUUUCGUGAGAAAACGUAAAGAGAGGGAAAGGAAGGAGAAGAGAAAGGAGGGGAGGGAUGGAAAAGGGUGAUUCCAAGGGAAAGGCCGUGCUCAGUCCGAGAGAACUAAUUUCAUAGUUUUAAGGGCCACUGGAAUUGAGCCGGUUCGGGUCAUCGCUAAUUGGGUGCUGUACUGGCUAGAUUGCGGUCACCUUGUUAGAAACCUCGACGACUUCGCUGUGAAAAUAUAUCUUCCUAGCGGAGAACGAAUCUUCUCUCGUUUCAGCACGUGUAUCGCAUUUCUGGCGUGUGUAUAUUUGAGAAGAGACGUUUGAGUACCACGACGUUUGAUAAACCAACUCGCUAUCAGGCAAUGCUUGACUAGACCAAAGUUGAUGUUCCAACGUGAACACAUUGUUCCGUUUCGAUUCACGAGAAGGCACAAUAGUACACUGACUACAUUUAUAGUUAUAUUCCUUUCUUUCUGUAGCUAAGAUAGCUACGUAAUUUGUAAUAAAAUGUAAAUAAAUGAAAACUGUAAUAAAAGUA